CAUGGCUCAGAGCGAACGCUGGCGGCAGGCUUAACACAUGCAAGUCGAACGGGCACUUCGGUGCUAGUGGCAGACGGGUGAGUAACACGUGGGAACGUACCUUUUGGUUCGGAAUAAUCCAGGGAAACUUGGACUAAUACCGGAUACGCCCUUCGGGGGAAAGAUUUAUCGCCGAAAGAUCGGCCCGCGUCUGAUUAGCUAGUUGGUGAGGUAAAGGCUCACCAAGGCGACGAUCAGUAGCUGGUCUGAGAGGAUGAUCAGCCACAUUGGGACUGAGACACGGCCCAAACUCCUACGG
rnacentral:rRNA from 1 species